rnacentral:rRNA from 1 species
GUAGGGGUGCGAGCGUUAAUCGGAAUUACUGGGGCGUAAAGCGUGCGCAGGCGGUUAUGUAAGACAGAUGUGAAAUCCCCCGGGGGCUCAACCUGGGAACUGCAUUUUGUGACUGCAUGGCUAGAGUACGGUAGAGGGGGAUGGAAUUCCGCGUGUAGCAGUGAAAUGCGUAGAUAUGCGGAGGAACACCGAUGGCGAAGGCAAUCCCCCUGGACCUGUACUGACGCUCAUGCACGAAAGCGUGGGGAGCAAACAGGAUUAGAUACCCUGGUAGUCCACGCCCUAAACGAUGUCAACUGGUUGUUGGGAAUUAGUUUUCUCAGUAACGAACCUAACGCGUGAAGUUGACCGCCUGGGGAGUACGGCCGCAAAGGUUGA